CCUACGGGAGGCAGCAGUAAGGAAUAUUGGUCAAUGGACGCAAGUCUGAACCAGCCAUGCCGCGUGCAGGAUGAAGGCCCUUGGGUCGUAAACUGCUUUUAUCUAUGAAGCGGUAAUAGAGGAAUAAGCACCGGCUAACUCCGUGCCAGCAGCCGCGGUAAUACGGAGGGUGCAAGCGUUAUCCGGAUUUACUGGGUUUAAAGGGUGCGUAGGCGGGUUGGUAAGUCAGUGGUGAAAGCCCCGAGCCUAACUCGGGAACUGCCAUUGAUACUAUCAAUCUUGAAUUCAGUUGAGGUGGGCGGAAUGUGUCAUGUAGCGGUGAAAUGCUUAGAUAUGACACAGAACACCAAUUGCGAAGGCAGCUCGCUAACUACAUUGACGCUGAGGCACGAAAGCGUGGGGAUCAAACAGGAUUAGAUACCCUUGUAGUC
rnacentral:rRNA from 1 species